rnacentral:rRNA from 1 species
CCCUUAGAUAUCCUAGGCUGCACGCGAGCUACAAUGGUAUAUAUAAAAGGUUGCUGCUCUGAGAGGACUGGCAAUACCCUGAUAUAUAUCGUAUUUGGAAUAGAUUUUUGAAAUUAUCAAUCUUGAACGAGGAAUUCCUAGUAAAAAUAUUUCAUCAUAAUGUUUUGAUUGUGUCCCUGCCCUUUGUACACACCGCCCGUCGCUCCUACCGAUUGAAUAUUCCGGUGAGAAGAUAGGAGAAAAAUCUUUUGAUUUUUUGAAUAUUUUUGAACCUUGAUAUUUAGAGGAAGGAGAAGUCGUANCA